GGACGUAUAUUUCUAUUGGAUUCUAAUCGUUCUCUUGGGGGAGUACAUGUAAUCCUUUUAGUAUUCUCCUUCAAAUAAGAGUCACCUUUACUUCUCCUCCCAUGAUCAUAUGAUAUUGUUUUUUUCCUAUAAGGGGAAUGAGAAUUAAAAUGAGAACCUCUGUAGGAAUGGGGUUUUCUUCUCGAUAUCCUAUUUAAGGUGGAAAAAGUACUAUUAUUUUU